ACGGGGUGCAGCAGGCGCGAACACUUUACAAUGCGGGAAACCGCGAUAAGGGAACCCCGAGUGCCAGCAUCAAAUGUUGGCUGUCCAGAUGAUUAAAAAUCAUUUGUUAGCAAGGGCCGGGCAAGACCGGUGCCAGCCGCCGCGGUAACACCGGCGGCCCGAGUGGUAGCCGUUUUUAUUGGGUCUAAAGGGUCCGUAGCCGGCCUGAUAAGUCCUUUGGGAAAUCUGGCAGCUUAACUGUCAGGCUUCUGAGGGAUACUGUCAGGCUUGGGACCGGAAGAGGUAAGGGGUACUCCAGGGGUAGGAGUGAAAUCUUGUAAUCCCUGGGGGACCAUCUGUGGCGAAGGCGCCUUACCAGAACGGGUCCGACGGUGAGGGACGAAAGCUAGGGGAGCAAACCGGAUUAGAUACCCGGGUAGUCCUAGCUGUAAACGAUGCUCGCUAGGUGUCAGACACGGUGCGACCGUGUUUGGUGCCGCAGGGAAGCCGUUAAGCGAGCCACCUGGAAGUACGUCGCAAGGC
rnacentral:rRNA from 1 species